rnacentral:rRNA from 1 species
UCUGGUGACGAUGGCGGAGGGGCUACACCUGUUCCCAUCCCGAACACAGCAGUUAAGUCCUCC